AUGAGAGUCCUAAGUUGGAACUGCCAGGGACUUGGGCAACCCCGGACAGUUCAGGAGCUAGUGUGCUUAGUGCACACGUACAAGCCUAAGCUUGCCUUCCUCUCUGAAACUAUGCAAAGCAACACUUAUGUCAAUAUAAGAUGGAGGUUAGGCCUUAAGCAUUGUAUCCUACAACCAGGCAUAGGAAAAAGUGUUGGGAUUGUACUCUUUUAUGAUGAAAAUGUCGAAGUAAUAAAGCUUGCCGUUGGCUCUAGGUACAUCAAUGUGUUGAUCAGAUUGUCACCUAAUAGUUUGCAAUGGCGUGGUACUUUCAUCUAUGGAGAACCUAGAGCAUAG
rnacentral:rRNA from 1 species